GGAAUAUACAUAUUAUCAGGCUGUCUUCACAACUUUUUCCUUACCGGUUUGGACAAACAUCAGUGUCUAUACCUGUGUGUCAGUAUUUAAAGUUUAAUGGGAUCAUUCGUAUAAGGUGGUCUGAUGCUGCAAGAACACAACCUCUGGUGAGGCCAGGAAAGCAAGACAGUAGGAAGAGUUUCUGGCCAAGAAAGCUGUAUGACUUCACUACCAGAUAAAUAAAGUCUACCAGUUACUGAAUCUACAGAUUGGGCUGGAUUCUGCUGCAGUAACCUGAGUCUGGGAUGAGUUCUGUGGGAAGCAGAGCACUCCUGUUCUGCAGAUGGGACACUUCAGUUUUGAAUAUUUUCAGUUUGGCACCUCGAACAGCACAGCCUCCCUCAAAGGGAACACACACAGGUGUGAUUUCAUCAGUUGCAACCUGAGAUCAGCCUUAUGAUUUCAUGGAGAGAAGCAGCACUCCAGACAGGUUGGUUUGUUCCUGUAGAAAUACAAAUCCACCUAAGAGAACGUGGCAGGAGAGGAAAAGCAGCAGCAGCAGAGCUUCCACUCAGAAGGGUUCUGUGAGAGCCCCGGCAGAUGCUUGGCUUUUAAAUAAGUGCUUCUGAAGCACCUUGUAACAGUUUAGCUCCAUCUGUGAUUCAGUUUUCUCCACAGCAGCGGCCAGCCCGACCAGCUUCCUUCUGCAAGGAGAGGCACCUUUAGGCAAAACGUACUGUGAGGAGAAGCAAAUUCCUCAGAUCGAGCAGGCCGAACAGGGCGUUGAUGACAUCGCCAAGGAAGUAUAGGCUGUUCUGUUGUAGAAAGAAAACGUUUGGUCGCAGCUAAAAGCUGAGAACACCUGAAUCCAAUGUUGCACGUACGAAAGCAUGGAAAAUUGGCAACCGACGCUAUUCUGGGCUAAGUGCAUUCCGUUGGGUUUUGGGGGAGCGCUGCGUAGUAGCGACUGUGGGAAAACCACUAAAUAGUUCUGUGUUUGAACCAU
rnacentral:lncRNA from 7 species